rnacentral:sRNA from 1 species
AAGCUAAUCUGGGAAUUUGUAAUGUUACUUUAUUUUUAUAAUUCAAAUUAUUUUGUUUUGUGAUUUUUUAUUUUUUGUAAAUUACUUCAUUGGAAGUUUAACUAUGCAUAAUCUAUUCAGUCUUAAAUAUGUACAGAACAGUUAUGUACAGUGACGUUUGCAUGAUUGUGUGAAGAUUAAGAGGGCUGGGUGGCGGCCAUUUUUCAGACUUUAUUAUCUCCUUGAAAAGAAGAGCUUUAUAUAAAGAUGUAGGACAAUUCUCAAAUCUUAACAUCAUAUAAAUAGUGCCUGUUUGGGAGGGUAACAGUUGAAAUUGAUACCCCGAAGGAACCAUUGUCAACCAACGUGAAGCGGAGGUUGACAACGGUUUUCGAGGGGUGUGAAUUUCAACAGUUACCUCCAAAACAGAAUCUAUUUAUUUUAUUAUACUGAAUGUCUUAAUUUUAAAGAUCAUUUUACUGCUUUUAUACAAAAAUAAAGUGAAUUCUGUGGCGAACUGUACGCGCAUAAUUUACGCGCAUUUAACAAUUCGUUGUGUUACCCGUUGCCAAGUGUGUUGCUAACGCUGAGGGUAAUAGAAUGGAUUAUCAACUGCGUCUAAACCAAUCAGAUUUCAGUAUUUAACAUGAAAGUAUAAUAAAAGAUAUUUAGAACUUGUCUUUACUUAAUACUUAUUAAUAUCAGCCAAAAAAUCACAGAUGAUAAUUUGAAUUAGAUCUGAUGAGUAGUUUGUAGACGGCCAGCCUCUUUAAGAGAUCAAAGAAUUUUUAUGUGUGUGAAUAGAGAAUAUUUGUAUGUAUUUAUUUUCUAUUAUUUAUUUUCCUUUUAUUUUUGGUUACCAGGUAUAUUUUUCUGAAAUAGUUUUCUUCGACAUCAGUAUAUGGAUUAUAUUCCGACCCAAGAAUUGUACGUGUUCUUAGCAUCAGGGGCCAGCAGUCAUCUUUGAAUGUUUCCAUCUGACUCUGGCAUGAAACAAAAUUUUUAUUUGGAAUUUUGAAUCUUGUAAAUUAUAUGGGUCUUCAUUGUUUAUCUCUAAGUAGAACAUACCGAGUAUUUGUGCUCUGAACAAGACAAGAAGAUUUAGUUUGGUUUGAUUUGAAAUAAGCGAGAGAGGGGAGAAAGAAAUAGAGAAAUAGCACUGAUUCAAAGAAAUCCAAGUUGUAUAAAUUCUCUCUAUUUACAAGGUUAUAAUGACCAUGUGUAUAAAUUCUCUCUAUUGACAAUGUUAUAAUGACCAUGCUGUUUAUUUUCUCAUUAUUUACUUGUUAAAUAAUAAAACAUGACCAAACC